rnacentral:rRNA from 1 species
AGUGAACGCUGGCGGUAGGCCUAACACAUGCAAGUCGAACGGCAGCACAGUAAUAGCUUGCUCUUACGGGUGGCGAGUGGCGGACGGGUGCGGAAUACAUCGGAAUCUACUUUUUCGUGGGGGAUAACGUAGGGAAACUUACGCUAAUACCGCAUACGACCUACGGGUGAAAGCAGGGGAUCUUCGGACCUCGCGCGAUCGAAUGAGCCGAUGUCGGAUUAGCUAGUUGGCGGGGUAAAGGCCCACCAAGGCGACGAUCCGUAGCUGGUCUGAGAGGAUGAUCAGCCACACUGGAACUGAGACACGGUCCAGACUCCUACGGGAGGCAGCAGUGGGGAAUAUUGGACAAUGGGCGCAAGCCUGAUCCAGCCAUACCGCGUGGGUGAAGAAGGCCUUCGGGUUGUAAAGCCCUUUUGUUGGGAAAGAAAAGCAGCAGGUUAAUACCCCGCUGUUCUGACGGUACCCAAAGAAUAAGCACCGGCUAACUUCGUG